AUACGGAGGGUCCAAGCGUUAUCCGGAAUCAUUGGGUUUAAAGGGUCCGCAGGCGGUCAAUUAAGUCAGAGGUGAAAGCCCAUCGCUCAACGAUGUAACUGCCUUUGAUACUGGUUGACUUGAGUUAUACGGAAGUAGAUAGAAUAAGUAGUGUAGCGGUGAAAUGCAUAGAUAUUACUUAGAAUACCGAUUGCGAAGGCAGUCUACUACGUAUAUACUGACGCUGAGGGACGAAAGCGUGCGGAGCGAACAGGAUUAGAAACCCUAGUAGUCC
rnacentral:rRNA from 1 species